CUACGGGGUGCUGCAGUGGGGAAUAUUGGACAAUGGGGGGAAACCCUGAUCCAGCAAUGCCGCGUGUGUGAAGAAGGCCUGCGGGUUGUAAAGCACUUUCGGUUGGGAGGACUGCUUCUAGCACUAAUAUUGUUGGAAGUUGACGUUACCUUCAGAAGAAGCACCGGCUAACUCCGUGCCAGCAGCCGCGGUAAUACGGAGGGUGCAAGCGUUAAUCGGAAUUACUGGGCGUAAAGCGCGCGUAGGCGGCUAGAUCAGUCGGGUGUGAAAGCCCCGGGCUUAACCUGGGAACUGCAUCCGAUACUGUCUAGCUUGAGUACAGGAGAGGAGAGUGGAAUUCCACAUGUAGCGGUGAAAUGCGUAGAUAUGUGGAGGAACACCAAUGGCGGAGGCAGCUCUCUGGCCUGAUACUGACGCUGAGGUGCGGAAGCGUGGGGAGCAAACAGGAUUAGAUACCCUCGUAGUC
rnacentral:rRNA from 1 species